rfam:Mogibacterium sp. CM50 ctg120007703386, whole genome shotgun sequence.
GUCUCGAUAGCUCAGGGGACAGAGCACCGCUCUCCUAAAGCGGGUGUCGGAGGUUCGAAUCCUCUUCGGGACA